UGAGAAGCGUAGUAGUGCACUAAAGUUACCACUCGUGGAGCAGGUACAAGGCUGGGGCUAGAUAAGAGACGGAAAAAUCGCGCGGGCGCCUUACCCCAACCGCUAGCUUUGUACCUGCUCCACGAGUGGUAACUUUAGUGCACUAAUGCGCUUCUC
rnacentral:pre_miRNA from 1 species